rnacentral:lncRNA from 1 species
GUUUUUUCAGACGGGAAGGGCGGGAGUAAAGGGCUCCAAGAUAGGGAUUCCUUAAUAAUGUGAAGCACGACUGCCACCGUGAGGAAAUCCUUUGAAGACACAAUACGCCAUUACAGCGUCCUUCCCAGAAAGACUUGCUGUGGGGGGAAGUCUGAACUGUGGGAGGUGGCAGACGCUUGGGCUCCAGGCUAGGUCUUCUAGCUUUCUCCUCUAAGACCUGAAGAGAGGCCUUAACAUUGGUAGUAGCUUGGUGUAGAACCAGGAGAGUGAGGGGCUUGUAGUGAACCAGCAGCUGCCAGGCGAUCCUGGCACAGGAAGACGUAGGGCGGGGCCUCGGUUCCUCCAAGUGUGGGCAGGACUGAAGGCACCCAUUCAAACACACAUGGAGGCUCUUGUGGGCAUCUGUCUCUUCUUCCUGUCCCUUGGAGCAAGAGUCAGCAGGCUUUCUCGAACUAGCAUCUUGCUACGGGUCUUUGGGUCUCUGGUAGCACCAGUACCGCGCACAAACAACAGGUUUAUUCCAGGGAAGUUUACAGGAUUUGGUAUUAGAACCUUCACACUCCAGGUUCUACACCAAGAUACCGCCAAAUUCCAGUUCUCUCUUCAGGCCUUAGAGGAGAAGGCAACAAGACCUAGUCUGGAGCCCAAUCCUCUUCCACCUCCUCACAGACCAGACUUUCCCCCACAGCGAGGCUUCCCGGGAAGGACGCUGUAAUAGCCUAUUCUGUCUUUAAACGAUUUCCUCACGGUGGCAGUAGUGCUUCAGAUUUUCAAGGACGCCCUGUCUUGGAGCAGUCUUCUCCCGCCCUUCCUGUCUGAAAAAACGCCACCCAGAGACAAAUGCGCCAGGAGACAUGGCUGCCUUGCAUUUUGCACAGUUUGGGGCAACCUGUGCAAAUUCCUGUACUUUUGCUUUUCUUUUCCAUGUGAAAUCAAGUCAAAGCCUAAACGACCCAUCCUCAUCAGGAAUCUUGUUCUUUCAAGAAAUUAAAUGUUUUCCAGACUUAGUCUAUGUGGGUUGGCUCAGUACUUUCACAUGGUAUCAAAAUGUCUGUCUCAGGCCGGAAAUUAGACCGAUCAGAGAAGAAAAGCGAUAAUAAAUGGUCAGAAGCCUGGAGAUCAUCAUGAGCCACCAAUUCACAAGUCUAGGUGAUCUUUGACCUAUUCCCCUCCCCAGAC